AAAUUGAAGAGUUUGAUCAUGGCUCAGAUUGAACGCUGGCGGCAGGCCUAACACAUGCAAGUCGAACGGUAACAGGAAGCAGCUUGCUGCUUUGCUGACGAGUGGCGGACGGGUGAGUAAUGUCUGGGAAACUGCCUGAUGGAGGGGGAUAACUACUGGAAACGGUGGCUAAUACCGCAUAACGUCGCAAGACCAAAGAGGGGGACCUUCGGGCCUCUUGCCAUCAGAUGUGCCCAGAUGGGAUUAGCUUGUUGGUGAGGUAACGGCUCACCAAGGCGACGAUCCCUAGCUGGUCUGAGAGGAUGACCAGCCACACUGGAACUGAGACACGGUCCAGACUCCUACGGGAGGCAGCAGUGGGGAAUAUUGCACAAUGGGCGCAAGCCUGAUGCAGCCAUGCCGCGUG
rnacentral:rRNA from 1 species